rnacentral:tRNA from 2 species
GCAUCAGUGGUUUAGUGGUAAAAUCCAUCGUUGCCACUAGCAGGUUCGAUGGGCCCCGUGUUCGAUUCACGGCUGAUGCA